rnacentral:rRNA from 1 species
UACGAAGGGGGCUAGCGUUGCUCGGAAUUACUGGGCGUAAAGCGCGCGCAGGCGGUUCUUCAAGUCAGAGGUGAAAGCCCAGAGCUCAACUCUGGAAUGGCCUUUGAGACUAGAGGACUUGGGUACGGGAGAGGUGAGUGGAAUUCCGAGUGUAGAGGUGAAAUUCGUAGAUAUUCGGAAGAACACCAGUGGCGAAGGCGGCUCACUGGCCCGUUACCGACGCUCAGGCGCGACAGCGUGGGGAGCAAACAGG